CCCUUAGAUGUUCUGGGCUGCACGUGCGCUACACUGAGUAAUUCAAUGGGUAAGGGAACGCUAGAGCAUUACCUAAUCUUGAAAUUUGCUCGUGAUGGGGAUCGAUGGUUGCAAUUUUCCGUCGUGAACGAGGAAUACCUUGUAGGCGCAUGUCAUCAUCAUGCGCCGAAUACGUCCCUGCCCUUUGUACACACCGCCCGUCGCUCCUACCGAUUGAGUGAUCCGGUGAGGCUCUGGGACCUGGACGGAAAGAGCGUUUCGCUUGUUCUGUUUGGGAAACUUGGUCGAACCUUAUCAUUUAGAGGAAGGAGAAGUCGUAACA
rnacentral:rRNA from 1 species